GGCGUUUGAGAAUUGAGAGGGGUUGCUCUAGUACGAGAGGACCGGAGUGAACGAACCGCUGGUGUUCGGGUGUCAUGCCAAUGGCAUUGCCCGGUAGCUACGUUCGGAACUGAUAAGCGCUGAAAGCAUCUAAGCGCGAAGCAGGCCUCGAGAUGAGUUCUCACUAGACUUUUAAAGUCUCUGAAGGGCCGUUGAAGACUACAACGUUGAUAGGCAAGAUGUGGAAGUGGUGUGAGCCAUUAAGCUAACUUGUACUAAUUACCCGUGAGGCUUAACCAUA
rnacentral:rRNA from 1 species